UCGGAGUUGGAUGAGCCCGCGUUGGAUUAGCUAGUUGGUGGGGUAAUAGCCUACCAAGGCGACGAUCCAUAGCUGGUCUGAGAGGAUGAUCAGCCACACUGGGACUGAGACACGGCCCAG
rnacentral:rRNA from 1 species